UACGGAGGGUGCGAGCGUUGCUCGGAAUCACUGGGCGUAAAGCGCACGUAGGCGGAUCUUUAAGUCAGGGGUGAAAUCCCGGAGCUCAACUCCGGAACUGCCUUUGAUACUGGAGAUCUUGAGUCCGGGAGAGGUGAGUGGAACUGCGAGUGUAGAGGUGAAAUUCGUAGAUAUUAGGAAGAACACCAGUGGCGAAGGCGGCUCACUGGCCCGGUACUGACGCUCAGGUGCGAAAGCGUGGGGAGCAAACAGG
rnacentral:rRNA from 1 species